UUAGCUCAUAUUUGUAUGGAAUGGGAUCGUUUGCCUAGGUUUGCCGCUAGGGGCGCUGUUCCAACUGCAUACAAAAUUGGGUUA
rnacentral:pre_miRNA from 1 species